rnacentral:tRNA from 2 species
GGGCCGUUAGCUCAGUUGGUAGAGCACCGCACUUUUAAUGCGAUGGUCGCUGGUUCGAAUCCAGCACGGCCCAUCA